UAGGGAAUAUUGGACAAUGGGGGCAACCCUGAUCCAGCAAUGCCGCGUGUGUGAAGAAGGCCUUCGGGUUGUAAAGCACUUUCGAUGGGGAAAAACAAAUCAGACCUAACACGUCUGGUCCUGAUGGUACCCAGAGAAGAAGCACCGGCUAACUCUGUGCCAGCAGCCGCGGUAAUACAGAGGGUGCAAGCGUUAAUCGGAAUUACUGGGCGUAAAGGGUGCGUAGGUGGUUUGUUAAGUCAGGCGUGAAAUCCCUGGGCUCAACCUGGGAACUGCGUUUGAUACUGGCAGACUCGAGUCUGGUAGAGGGUAGUGGAAUUCCGCAUGUAGCGGUGAAAUGCGUAGAUAUGCGGAGGAACAUCAGUGGCGAAGGCGGCUACCUGGACCAAGACUGACACUGAGGCACGAAAGCGUGGGGAUCAAACAGGAUUAGAUACCCUGGUAGUCCACGCCCUAAACGAUGGGUACUAGACGUUGGGAGGUUUAUCCUCUUGGUGUCGCAGCUAACGCAAUAAGUACCCCGCCUGGGGAGUACGGUCGCAAGAUUA
rnacentral:rRNA from 1 species